GGCCAUUUAGCUUAAUGGUAAAGCACUUGACUGGUACUCAGGGAUGUGAGUUUGAGUGUCAUGGCUG
rnacentral:tRNA from 1 species